AGAAUAAGGUGGAUAAUACAUUAAGCUAGUGUUCUGUAUUCUGGUUCACAUCGAAACCAACAGCAUUGUACCUUUUACAUUGUGAGCUUUAGACGCUGGUACUGUUAGGUCUGCACAUGAGUCCUCACGCUCCAUUGUAAACAAACAGCGUCAGUUCACGCGUGAGGACGCGCCCGCGCGUUUGUCGUGCAACAGGAAGUUUGCGCAUCAGGGAACCGUUUGCCCAGGCUGUGGAUUAAAGUUUCAGCUAAACGUCUUCUAUCUUGUUCUACUGAAUAAAAAAGCUACCUACAUCCUGGAUGACCUGGGCUGUUUGGACCGCUGAGGAUCCAUUGGUGAGCAAGUGAUGUAAAGCUAAAUGUCUCCAAAUCUGUUCUGAUGAAGAAAAAAAAAGCCUCAUCUACAUCUUAGAUGGCCUGUGGGUGAG